UAAUAAUGAUGACGUUGAUGCUAAUGUUGACGUUGAUUAUAAUGAUGAUGAUGAUGAUCAUCAUCAUCAUCAUUAUCAUUACCAUCAUCAACAUCA
rnacentral:pre_miRNA from 1 species